ACGAACGCUGGCGGCGUGCCUAAUACAUGCAAGUCGAACGCUUCUUUCCUCCCGAGUGCUUGCACUCAAUUGGAAAGAGGAGUGGCGGACGGGUGAGUAACACGUGGGUAACCUACCCAUCAGAGGGGGAUAACACUUGGAAACAGGUGCUAAUACCGCAUAACAGUUUAUGCCGCAUGGCAUAAGAGUGAAAGGCGCUUUCGGGUGUCGCUGAUGGAUGGACCCGCGGUGCAUUAGCUAGUUGGUGAGGUAACGGCUCACCAAGGCCACGAUGCAUAGCCGACCUGAGAGGGUGAUCGGCCACACUGGGACUGAGACACGGCCCAGACUCCUACGGGAGGCAGCAGUAGGGAAUCUUCGGCAAUGGACGAAAGUCUGACCGAGCAACGCCGCGUGAGUGAAGAAGGUUUUCGGAUCGUAAAACUCUGUUGUUAGAGAAGAACAAGGACGUUAGUAACUGAACGUCCCCUGACGGUAUCUAACCAGAAAGCCACGGCUAACUACGUGCCAGCAGCCGC
rnacentral:rRNA from 1 species